UCUGUACGGCAAAACCUAAAAUGGCGGCAUUGCUUAAGCAACAUAACGUUGUUUUUAAGUAUGAUGUUGUGUUUUAUCUAGUUCACUAGAUUUGAGUUUACUGUUAACUUCCUGUAUAUAUUCAAACCGAUUUGGUUUAUCGGCCGCUCUGAAUAAGAGCGGCUUUUUUAU
rnacentral:other from 1 species